GGGAAGGUGGUCUAGCUUGGAAUGAUUCUCGGUUCGGAACUGAGCGGUCGGGGGUUCAAUUCCCCCCUUUCCCA
rnacentral:tRNA from 1 species